AAGAAAAUGCUAUUUACUAAAUGAAAUUGUCUGGUAUUCACGUUUUUCUGCUCUGAACGGUUGUCUAUUUGAAAUUGUCUAUUUGACUAUUUUUCUUCCAUGCAGUGCCAAAUAAAGGGAGCACCAGCAGGGGUAUUUAAUAAUCUAGCCCUAGAUUUAGAGAAAUUCUAAAAUCUAUGAUAACUGCCAUUAAAAUUAACCAGUUAAUUUAAAAUUUGAAACAAUAUUUAUGAUUGGUGUUGAUCUCAUCUCACCUCUUUUGGCAUUGCUCGUAUGGUAUCUGUAAUUUUGAAAUAUGACAUAAUAUUUUAUAUUUCAAAAUGGAAUAAAAGAGUAUAUAAAUUAUAUUUUCUGUCUUUUUCUAUUGGCAUGAUUAAUCAAGUUAAAUAAUAAUCAAUUUGAACGAUGUUUUUACAUUUAUUAAUGACAUUCCAAACUUAUAUAUUGCUGAGCUGCACAAUUUCGGAUCAUAAAACGUUUCUAAAAAGUAAAUAAAUAACAACACUGCAAUACAUAUAUAAUAAAGUAUUGAAGCAAUAAAAUUUUUUAAUUUAUCAAAAUUGCCAUUUUUAACAAGAUUUUGGCAUUGCCAUAACAGUAUUUACCAUUUCUACUGAUAACGCACUAAUAUAACAGUACUAUCAUUAAUUGAUUAUUGAUCUAAAAUUGUAUAACUAAUAUGUAAAUUGUACAUAUGCAUCAUAUUACAAUAGUUAUUACUUAUUCCUACAUAAUAAUAGCCUACAUAUAUAUAUAUAUUGACAUUGUUAUUUUAUCAUCAUAAUUACAUAAUAAUUUAUGCAAAUUUUCUUGCUCAAAUAAUUCAGAAACAUAAGAGCUAUGUAAAUAAGGAGUGUCAAUACUGAGAAUCAGCAACCGAUCAAAUUUAUUGAAAAUGAUUCAAACCAAAUUUUUAUUAUUACUUAUGUAAUAAUGAUCCAGUUUUGAUCAUUUUCAGAUUUCAAAAAGAUAUAAAAGAAUAAUCAAAAGAAUCACACGAUUGCUUUAUCACUUUUAUUUACCUGUUUUGUAUUCAUAUAUGUCACGCGUAUGCCAUUAUUUUGUUAGGUAUUUUGUCUAUAAUAGAAAUUAUAUAAGAGAAAUGGAAAUCUACAGUCAGGUGAAUUGGAUUUGGUCCCAUCAACUGAAAUGCAUAGUUAUAAUUGAACAGUUAUUUUCAUCUAUCAGGAAGUUUAUAAGUAUUAUAUACAAGUAUUACCCAAUUUAUGUACAUCUGAAUUCUGUAAAUUGAAUUUUUUAGAAAUAUAGAACAUAAGAUAUACCAUAUUUGUAAGUUGCAAGUGCAAGCAUUUUAGUUUAUAAUAUUUAAAAAUUUAAAUUACUUGAUUUAUUUAUGUUGUAUGAUUUUUGUUUAUUUUAAAUAUUAUAUUACUAGGCAUUAUGGCAUUAUCUCUCUUUUAAUUAAGAAACAAUAUGGCUUCGUAAUGUUAUGAAAAUGCAAUCAUUGUACUCCACCUUAUUCUGGGAGUUUUGAUUCAGAAUAUUUGUUAAAAAAUUAUUUUUCUGAAUUACAUAAAAUUUAGAUUAUGCAAAAGCUUAAAUUCCAAUUAUUUAAAUAAAUUGGGAAAUACUUGUACUUCCUUCUUUACGUAGAAGUCUAUAUGAUGAAAUAGCUUUCAUUGCUUCUGUGGGCAUUUAAUAGAUAAGAAGUCACGAUAGCAAUUCAGAAGAUUAAUAAAAUAAAUUCCAAAUAAUGGAUGCUAUCUGAAAAACAGGUUCUAAGUUUUCCAAAACAUAUCAAAUAAAACUCAAAGUUUUUGUAAAAAAGGUAAAAGAAUCUGAAUUUAAUAUAUUUGGAUUUUUUGCAUUGGGAUUUAUCAGGUCUAAAUUGCAAAAGAUUCGAAAUGUUACGAGAUUUACGGGCAUAUCUAAGACUGCAGAUUGCUACAAAAUGUAAUUUGCAAUCCGAUUAGCAGAUCUAUAUAGAGAUAUUGAUAAUAAUCAUUUUGAAAUAAAUGUUUAAGUUAUAUUAAUAAAACAUCCCUCUGAUUUUAUUAUUGGAUGGUUUCUCCUGAAUUGUUUUGAUUUCAAUAAAAUUGAUAGACUUAUUUUACGAUCUUAAAUCAGAAAGUAAUAUUGGCAGCAUAUUACAAAGAUUUAUAUUCAAAUACUUUUUUAUCAGAACAUAAUGACAAUGCAAGAACACGAUGUUAAUAUUCAUAAAAUACUCUAGCAGUUAUUUUAUAUAUUUGAAAAGUCCACACAAAUAAUUUCAUGUUCCUCCAGUUUUAUUAUAUAUAGUUAUUCAU
rnacentral:lncRNA from 1 species